CAGGGCUUAGGGCUAUUCGAGGGAGGAGCACUAAAUACAUUUAUAUGACAGAGUUUCCAUGUCUUACACACAGAUCCUGAGCAGUUGUAGGCCCAGGGUGUGCUGUUACUGGCCUGAGCAGGACCCAGGGUUAAAGAAAGCAUCCUGCGAACACAAGGAACAACUGGCUCCCGUGACAGAACUUUUAACCAGCCUUUUCUCAAAUCUGUUGACUUAACGCAGGCCAGGGAAUUCUUUGAAAGGCAACAUGGCUAUAAAUCAGCAAGUCCUGCGAACGUGCAUUCCAGGGUCUUGGAGGAAAGGGCUGCACACAAAAGCACCUCUUCUAAGUCUUCAGGAAUGCUGUGGAGUCCCAGUGUCUCCUGAGGAAAUCCCUUUCCCAUUCAGCCGGCAGCUGCAGCAGGUGGGAUGGGCCAGACCAGCCCUCUGGGGAUGCUGAUCCCAGGGAGCAUCCAGGCCGGAAGGUCCAAACGGGCAAGUGACUCAUUUGCUUUUCCUCCCUUGGUCAUGUCUAUGACUCAUACACUUUCAUUCAGUCCCAAGUAUGAGAAAGGAACAUCAAAAAGUCCAAGAUGUUAUCAAAUAUUUGAUGAAAAAGAAAAUUCCCCUCUCAUAUGACCCUUACAGAAAAUGUUUAUUUAGUCUUUUCAUUUUGUUGACAUUUCUUUGAUUUAUCAACAUUGAGAAGGUACAGUGAGGAGAAGGAAGGCUGUUAAGUGAGACAAAGGAGGGUUAGGAUGGCUCAGUCAUUGCUCCCCCGAGGGAGUGAUCUAAGCUGCUCACCCACAGACAGAAAGGGUAAAUGGGCUAGCUCUUCAUUAAUAAGAAAGGACUCUUCGUUUGAGUAAGUGAGGAGUAUUUACAGUGCUGUGUUUGUAAUCACAUGGUGCCUGUGUAUAGAUGGCUGGGAGACAGGAUAAAGGGAUGGGUGAUUUAAAAGCAUCAACUUUGGUAUCAGAUGGAUCUGGAGUGGAAUUAUGGAUCUGUCACUUAUUAGCUGUGCAACCUUCAGCAAGAUCCUUGAGUGCUCUGAGACUUAGCUUUCAGAUCUAUAAAAUAACAAUUAUAAAAAAAUAGCAGCAAUGAUAAUGCCAACAUGUCUAUCAUUGAGCUUCUACUUUGUACCAGACAUUGAUCUAUGGAUUUUACAUAUAUUAUCUCAUUUUAUCUUUCCAACAAACCAAAAUAUGGGUAGUACUAUUGUCCGCAUUUUAUAGGUGUGGAAGCCGAGUCACUGAGGGCUGAAGGAACUUGCUCAAGGUCACGCAAUUAGAAAGGAGCAAAAUAUCUUCCUCCUCAGAUUGUUAUGAGGCUUACUCAAGGUAAAGCAGCUAAAGAGAUUAGUUCCCUGUAAAUGUACAACAGUAUAUAUGCUUACUUUUUCUUUUUCAAACUAAAGACAAGGAAGGGGGAAUUCCCUUUCUAAUUGUCCCAAUUGCUAUCUCCUUUUUUUUUUUUUUUU
rnacentral:lncRNA from 1 species